CUGUGGGGACGCAGAAGGAGAGCACGAGCCGGAAAUGGAAAAGCCGGUACAAGCGUAUAGCAGUCAUGCAGGCAAAACCGCAUGAAAAAUGUAAAGCGUUAUGUGGAUCGAACAUUAGUAGAGAAGCGUGUGAGCCAGCUGCCAAGAAAAGCCGCUAUUGCUUCAUAAGUACCCGUACCGUAAACCGACACAGGUGGAUGAGGAGAGAAUCCUAAGGCCGGCGGGAGAAGUGUUGUUAAGGAACUCGGCAAAAUGACUCCGUAACUUCGGGAGAAGGAGUGCCACAGAGAUGUGGCCGCAGAGAAAUGGCCCAAGCAACUGUUUAGCAAAAACACAGGUCUAUGCAAAACCGAAAGGUGAGGUAUAUGGGCUGACGCCUGCCCGGUGCUGGAAGGUUAAGAGGAGAGGUUAGAGCAAUCGAAGCUUUGAAUUUAAGCCCCAGUAAACGGCGGCCGUAACAAUAACGGUCCUAAGGUAGCGAAAUUCCUUGUCGGGUAAGUUCCGACCCGCACGAAAGGCGUAAUGAUUCGGGCACUGUCUCAACAACACACCCGGUGAAAUUGAAAUACCAGUGAAGAUGCUGGUUACCUGCGCCAGGACGGAAAGACCCCAUGGAGCUUUACUCCAGUUUGAUACUGGGAUUCGGUACUGUCUGUACAGGAUAGGUGGGAGGCUAGGAAAUGGUGACGCCAGUUGCCAUGGAGCCAACCUUGGGAUACCACCCUUACAGUACUGGGUUUCUAACCUGCAGCCGUGACCCGGCUGGGGGACAAUGUCUGACGGGGAGUUUGACUGGGGCGGUCGCCUCCGAAAGAGUAUCGGAGGCGCUCAAAGGUUCCCUCAGAACGGUUGGAAACCGUUCGAAGAGUGCAAAGGCAGAAGGGAGCUUGACUGCGACACCGACGGGUGGAGCAGAUACGAAAGUAGGACUUAGUGAUCCGGUGGUAUAAAGUGGGAUUGCCAUCGCUCAACGGAUAAAAGCUACCCUGGGAUAACAGGCUUAUCACUCCCAAGAGUUCACAUCGACGGAGUGGUUUGGCACCUGAUGUCGGCUCAUCGCAUCCUGGAGCUGUAGCAGGUUCCAAGGGUUGGGCUGUUCGCCCAUUAAAGCGGUACGCGAGCUGGGUUCAGAACGUCGUGAGACAGUUCGGUCCCUAUCCGGCGUGGGCGUAGGAUAUUUGAGAGGAGCUGUCCUUAGUACGAGAGGACCGGGAUGGACAAACCUCUGGUGUAUCUGUUGUUUUACCAAAGGCAUGGCAGAGUAGCCAAGUUUGGCAGGGAUAAACGCUGAAGGCAUCUAAGCGUGAAGCCCCCCUCAAGAUAAGAUAUCCCAUCUUCGGAGUAAGACCCCUUGAAGACUACAAGGUUGAUAGGCUUCAGGUGUAAGUGUGGUAACGCACUCAGCUGAGAAGUACUAAUAGGUCGAGGACUUAUC
rnacentral:rRNA from 1 species